ACCGACGCUUCAUCGAGCGUGAAAUCGAGUAGGGCGGGACACGUGAUAUCCUGUCUGAAUAUGGGGGGACCAUCCUCCAAGGCUAAAUACUCCUGACUGACCGAUAGUGAACCAGUACCGUGAGGGAAAGGCGAAAAGAACCCCUGUGAGGGGAGUGAAAUAGAACCUGAAACCGUGUACGUACAAGCAGUAGGAGCACCUUCGUGGUGUGACUGCGUACCUUUUGUAUAAUGGGUCAGCGACUUAUAUUCAGUGGCAAGGUUAACCGUAUAGGGGAGCCGUAGCGAAAGCGAGUCUUAACUGGGCGCUCAGUCUCUGGA
rnacentral:rRNA from 1 species